rnacentral:rRNA from 1 species
AUGAACGCUAGCUACAGGCUUAACACAUGCAAGUCGAGGGGCAUCAGUUUGGUUUGCUUGCAAACCAAAGCUGGCGACCGGCGCACGGGUGAGUAACACGUAUCCAACCUGCCUCAUACUCGGGGAUAGCCUUUCGAAAGAAAGAUUAAUAUCCGAUAGCAUAUAUUUCCCGCAUGGGUUUUAUAUUAAAGAAAUUCGGUAUGAGAUGGGGAUGCGUUCCAUUAGUUUGUUGGGGGGGUAACGGCCCACCAAGACUACGAUGGAUAGGGGUUCUGAGAGGAAGGUCCCCCACAUUGGAACUGAGACACGGUCCAAACUCCUACGGGAGGCAGCAGUGAGGAAUAUUGGUCAAUGGACGCGAGUCUGAACCAGCCAAGUAGCGUGAAGGAUGACUGCCCUAUGGGUUGUAAACUUCUUUUAUAUGGGAAUAAAGUUGUCCACGUGUGGAUUUUUGUAUGUACCAUAUGAAUAAGGAUCGGCUAACUCCGUGCCAGCAGCCGCGGUAAUACGGAGGAUCCGAGCGUUAUCCGGAUUUAUUGGGUUUAAAGGGAGCGUAGGCGGAUUGUUAAGUCAGUUGUGAAAGUUUGCGGCUCAACCGUAAAAUUGCAGUUGAUACUGGCAGUCUUGAGUGCAGUAGAGGUGGGCGGAAUUCGUGGUGUAGCGGUGAAAUGCUUAGAUAUCACGAAGAACUCCGAUUGCGAAGGCAGCUCACUGGAGUGUAACUGACGCUGAUGCUCGAAAGUGUGGGUAUCAAACAGGAUUAGAUACCCUGGUAGUCCACACAGUAAACGAUGAAUACUCGCUGUUUGCGAUAUACAGUAAGCGGCCAAGCGAAAGCAUUAAGUAUUCCACCUGGGGAGUACGCCGGCAACGGUGAAACUCAAAGGAAUUGACGGGGGCCCGCACAAGCGGAGGAACAUGUGGUUUAAUUCGAUGAUACGCGAGGAACCUUACCCGGGCUCAAACGCAGGGGGAAUAUAUAUGAAAUUAUAUAGUUAGCAAUAUUCACCUGCGAGGUGCUGCAUGGUUGUCGUCAGCUCGUGCCGUGAGGUGUCGGCUUAAGUGCCAUAACGAGCGCAACCCUUAUCUUCAGUUACUAACAGGUCAUGCUGAGGACUCUGGAGAGACUGCCGUCGUAAGAUGUGAGGAAGGUGGGGAUGACGUCAAAUCAGCACGGCCCUUACGUCCGGGGCUACACACGUGUUACAAUGGGGGGUACAGAAGGCCGCUACCUGGUGACAGGAUGCCAAUCCCAAAAACCUCUCUCAGUUCGGAUCGAAGUCUGCAACCCGACUUCGUGAAGCUGGAUUCGCUAGUAAUCGCGCAUCAGCCAUGGCGCGGUGAAUACGUUCCCGGGCCUUGUACACACCGCCCGUCAAGCCAUGAAAGCCGGGGGUACCUGAAGUACGUAACCGCAAGGAGCGUCCUAGGGUAAAACUGGUAAUUGGGGCU